rfam:Schistosoma mattheei strain Denwood, Zambia genome assembly, scaffold: SMTD_scaffold0005092
AUUUAGCUGACGAGUUGGAUAUAGGACGAAACUAUUGUCCUGAAU